rnacentral:piRNA from 2 species
UGGGCGAGUAUUGGUGGAACGCCAUCCU